GACUUAAGCAUAUCAAUAAGCGGAGGAAAAGAAACUAACAGGAUUCCCCUAGUAACUGCGAGUGAAGAGGGAAAAGCUCAAAUUUAAAAUCUGGUAGUCUCUGGCUGCCCGAGUUGUAAUCUAGAGAAGCAUUAUCCGCGCCGGACCAUGUACAAGUUUUCCUGGAAUGGAGCGUCAUAGAGGGUGAGAAUCCCGUCUUUGACAUGGGCUACCGGGGCUUUGUGAUGUGCUCUCCAAGAGUCGAGUUGUUUGGGAAUGCAGCUCUAAAUGGGUGGUAAAUUCCAUCUAAAGCUAAAUAUUGGCGAGAGACCGAUAGCGAACAAGUACCGUGAGGGAAAGAUGAAAAGAACUUUGGAAAGAGAGUUAAACAGUACGUGAAAUUGUUGAAAGGGAAACGCUUGAAGUCAGUCGCGUCUGCCAGGAAUCAACCUUGCAUUUUUGCUGGGUGUACUUUCUGGUUGGACGGGUCAGCAUCAAUUUUGAUCAGUGGAAAAAGUUCAGAGGAAUGUGGCACCUUCGGGUGUGUUAUAGCCUUUGUUCGUAUACAUUGAUUGGGAUUGAGGAACUCAGCAUGCCGUAAGGCCGGGUCUUUUGACUACGUUCAUGCUUAGGAUGCUGGCAUAAUGGCUUUAAUCGACCCGUCUUGAAACACGGACCAAGGAGUCUAACAUGCCCGCGAGUGUUUGGGUGGAAAACCCAGACGCGUAAUGAAAGUGAAGGUUGAGAUCCCUGUCGUGGGGAGCAUCGACGCCCGGACCAGAACUUCUGUGACGGAUCCGCGGUAGAGCGUGUAUGUUGGGACCCGAAAGAUGGUGAACUAUGCCUGAAUAGGGUGAAGCCAGAGGAAACUCUGGUGGAGGCUCGUAGCGAUUCUGACGUGCAAAUCGAUCGUCAAAUUUGGGUAUAGGGGCGAAAGACUAAUCGAACCAUCUAGUAGCUGGUUCCUGCCGAG
rnacentral:rRNA from 1 species